AGCGGCGGACGGGUGAGUAACGCGUGGGUAACCUGCCUCAUACAGGGGGAUAACAGUUGAAAACGGCUGCUAAUACCGCAUAAGCGCACAGUACCGCAUGGUACCGUGUGAAAAACUCCGGUGGUAUGAGAUGGACCCGCGUCUGAUUAGGUAGUUGGUGGGGUAACGGCCUACCAAGCCGACGAUCAGUAGCCGACCUGAGAGGGUGACCGGCCACAUUGGGACUGAGACAUGGCCCAA
rnacentral:rRNA from 1 species